GUCCCCUCUGUCUAGAGGUUCCCGUGACACCGCCCUUCACGGCGGUAACAGGGGUUCGAAUCCCCCAGGGGACGCCA
rnacentral:tRNA from 1 species